rnacentral:rRNA from 1 species
ACGGAGGGGGCUAGCGUUGUUCGGAAUUACUGGGCGUAAAGCGCACGUAGGCGGCUUUGCAAGUUAGAGGUGAAAGCCCGGGGCUCAGCCCCGGAAUUGCCUUUAAAACUGCAAUGCUAGAAUUGUGGAGAGGUAAGUGGAAUUCCGAGUGUAGAGGUGAAAUUCGUAGAUAUUCGGAAGAACACCAGUGGCGAAGGCGGCUCACUGGCCCGAUACUGACGCUGAGGCACGAAAGCGUGGGGAGCAAACAGGA